GCCUGGGUGGCUCAGUCAUUUGAGCAUCUGACUUCAGCUCAGGUCGUGAUCUCAUGGUUCGUGGGUUCGAGCCCUGCUUCAGGCU
rnacentral:tRNA from 1 species